GACGAACGCUGGCGGCGUGCUUAACACAUGCAAGUCGAGCGGUAAGGCCCUUUCGGGGGUACGACGAGCGGCGAACGGGUGAGUAACACGUGGGUGACCUGCCCUCAGCUCUGGGAUAAGCCUGGGAAACUGGGUCUAAUACUGGAUAUGACUCCACGGUGCAUGUCGUGGGGUGGAAAGCCUUGUGCGGCUGAGGAUGGGCCCGCGGCCUAUCAGCUUGUUGGUGGGGUGAUGGCCUACCAAGGCGACGACGGGUAGCCGGCCUGAGAGGGCGACCGGCCACACUGGGACUGAGACACGGCCCAGACUCCUACGGGAGGCAGCAGUGGGGAAUCUUGCGCAAUGGGCGAAAGCCUGACGCAGCGACGCCGCGUGAGGGAUGACGGCCUGGUGUAA
rnacentral:rRNA from 1 species